GACGAACGCUGGCGGCGUGCUUAACACAUGCCAGUCGAACGGAGAGGCCCUGCUUUUGUGGGGUGCUCGAGUGGCGAACGGGUGAGUAACACGUGAGUAACCUGCCCUUGACUUUGGGAUAACUUCAGGAAACUGGGGCUAAUACCGGAUAGGAGCUCCUGCUGCAUGGUGGGGGUUGGAAAGUUUCGGCGGUUGGGGAUGGACUCGCGGCUUAUCAGCUUGUUGGUGGGGUAGUGGCUUACCAAGGCUUUGACGGGUAGCCGGCCUGAGAGGGUGACCGGCCACAUUGGGACUGAGAUACGGCCCAGACUCCUACGGGAGGCAGUAGUGGGGAAUAUUGCACAAUGGGCGGAAGCCUGAUGCAGCAACGCCGCGUGCGGGAUGACGGCCUUCGGGUUGUAAACCGCUUUCGCCUGUGACGAAGCGUGAGUGACGGUAAUGGGUAAAGAAGCACCGGCUAACUACGUG
rnacentral:rRNA from 1 species